GCGAAAAAGAGCAAGUAACACGAAAAAAAAAUUGACCUGCUUCGUCUGGGGGACGGACGAAGGAUAUUUCUUUCUUUAUUUCUCAAUCUUUAGUUUAGUCAAGAGCGGAAAUUGGGAAUUAGUCGGUCCGCACUGGCUAACUGGCUAACCGUCUCGCGCUGCGACUGGCCACGGAAUGCGAUGGGCCGCCAGGAGUCCAGACCAACUUGGCUGUUGGGCUGAGCUGCGCCUGCGCCCUCCUGCCACUCAUCCACAUUCACAUCCACCACCCCGGACACCCAGUCAUGCACAUAAGCGGUACGUCUGCAGUCGAUGGAAAGAGGAGCCGUACCUGUGAUGGCGCAGGUACAAUAAAAUAAUGCAGACACUUCACUGUAUUAUAUUUGACAUAUUCGUUGAUAUAUGUUUCAACCAUAUCACCUGCUUAU
ensembl:ncRNA lncRNA:CR44118 long non-coding RNA:CR44118